ACCCUCUUCCUGUUCACAAGCACGACGACUGGGUGUUCACACGUUGUGUGACAGGUGCCUCCCUAAAGUCUCAUGACACGCUCGGCACAUUCCCCAGCUGAUG